CCUGUUUGUGGGCCAGUUGAAAAGUUGUCUCAAGUGCCAGGCCUAAAGGAUUUGCUGGGGGCAAGGUGUCUCUGCGGGAUUGUUUCAACCUUUUCACUAAGGAAGAAGAGCUAGAGUCGGAGAAUGCCCCAGUAUGUGGAGGUUCACAAGGGAUACAGUAAGGGUGGGAGACCUGGGGGGACUCCAUGUGGAUAAAAGGGAUUGCAUGAUGUCUUCAUAUGGGGAAUAAUAUUUAUGUAUCUGGGUUUGUGUUGGAGUCUCAGAUCUGUUCUAGUACUCCUAGAGCAAAGGGGAGAAGCCAAGAGGAUCCAGCUGUAAUGAAGAGCAUACUAAAUUUGUAUGUGGAUCGGGGUGUCAGAAAAGCCAAUUGAGGUUAGGAGCAUAUUAACCUAACACUGUUUGCCAUUUAUUCAGGUGUGUGACCGAUGUCGGCAGAAAACUCGAAGUACCAAAAAGUUGACAGUACAAAGAUUCCCUCGAAUCCUCGUGCUCCAUAUCCUAAUCUUCAGAUUCUUACUUCUCUUAGGAUACCUCCCAUACAUUCUCUUUCCUCCAUGUUUCCAGAGAAUUGAAUUUUCCUUAGGAAAAGUCUGCCACCCACUUUUCCACAAGAUGCUCCCAGUGUGUCGGGAGUGGGGAGAGGACAGCUUUCAGGAUAGAAGAAGUUCCCCUCAGAGGCCCACUGCCUCCCAAAUGCUCCUUA
rnacentral:lncRNA from 1 species